rnacentral:rRNA from 1 species
ACGUAGGGGGCAAGCGUUGAUCGGAAUCACUGGGCUUACAGCGCGUGUAGGCGGGGCGGCAGGUCUUCUGUGAAAGCCCCCGACUCAACCGGGGAACUGCUCGGUGAACCGCACGUCUUGAGGUCAGUAGGGGCGGUCGGAACGAUAGGUGGAGCGGUGGAAUGCGUAGAUAUCGACAGGAACGCCGAUGGCGAAGGCAGUCCGCUGGGCCUGUCCUGACGCUGAGACGCGAGAGCGUGGGGAGCAAACAG